GGCGCAGCUGAUCUUCAUGCCGGUGAGUGAAGAAGGCCUUCGGGUUGUAAAGCUCUUUCGGCAGGAACGAAAUGGUUCGUGCUAAUACCACGGACUGAUGACGGUACCUGAAGAAGAAGCACCGGCUAACUACGUGCCAGCAGCCGCGGUAAUACGUAGGGUGCAGGCGUUAAUCGGAAUUACUGGGCGUAAAGCGUGCGCAGGCGGUUUCUUAAGUCAGAUGUGAAAGCCCCGGGCUUAACCUGGGAACUGCGUNUGAAACUGGGAGACUUGAGUGUGGCAGAGGGGGGUGGAAUUCCACGUGUAGCAGUGAAAUGCGUAGAUAUGUGGAGGAACACCGAUGGCGAAGGCAGCCCCCUGGGUUAACACUGACGCUCAUGCACGAAAGCGUGGGGAGCAAACAGGAUUAGAUACCCUGAGUAGUCCACGCCCUAAACUAUGUCAACUGGUUGUCGGGGGAUUAACUCCCUUGGUAACGAAGCUAACGCGUGAAGUUGACCGCCUGGGGAGUACGGUCGCAAGAUCUAAACUCAGAGGAAUUGACGGGGACCCGCACAAGCGGUGGAUCAUGUGGCUUAAUUCGAUGCAAC
rnacentral:rRNA from 1 species